rnacentral:tRNA from 2 species
GCGGGUGUGGUGGAACUGGUAGACACAACGGAUUUAGGUUCCGUCGCUGCAAGGCAUGGGGGUUCGAGUCCCUCCACCCGCACCA